CAUGGCUGUCGUCAGCUCGUGUCGUGAGAUGUUGGUUAAGUCCGCAACGAGCGCAACCCUUGUCAUUAAUUGCCAUCAUUUAGUUGGGCACUUUAAUGAGACUGCCGGUGACAAACCGGAGGAAGGUGGGGAUGACGUCAAGUCCUCAUGGCCCUUAUGGGUAGGGCUUCACACGUAAUACAAUGGCGCGUACAGAGGGUUGCCAACCCGCGAGGGGGAGGCUAAUCUCAGAAAGCGCGUCGUAGUCCGGAUCGGAGUCUGCAACUCGACUCCGUGAAGUCGGAAUCGCUAGUAAUCGCGGAUCAGCAUGUCGCGGUGAAUACGUUCCCGGGUCUUGUACACACCGCCCGUCACACCAUGGGAGUGGGUUUCACCAGAAGCAGGUAGUCUAACCGUAAGGAGGGCGCUUGCCACGGUGAGAUUCAUGACUGGGGU
rnacentral:rRNA from 1 species